CAGUCUAGUGGUAUGAUUCUCGCUUAGGGAGCCCUUUUAUGACACAAACCCAAGCACAGCUUGCGAGAGGCCCCGCGUUCGAGUCGCGGUAAGA